ACAUUUCUGCCUUUGCACCCUCUUGGCACUCCCAUAGGGCUCAGCUGCUUGAGAAUUCCGAGUGCAUGGGCUGAGUAUGGGGCUGCUCCCGGCCUUGGCUGAUACCACCUGGCUCUGCCCGGGACUUUGAAAGAUGCAAUCCGGAAGAGGAAACAAUAUCUGUGUUGAGAGUAACUGCCCUUGGCCUGAAUUCGUCAAACAGGAUUUAUUGGGAGAAGGGGAGAGAAAGGAGGAGGGAGACAAACACACAGAAAGUAUAUUCUGUAAACACAAGUCAAGGGAACUCACAGACUGCUUGUGGGUGAAGAUGAGCAAGAGAAAUCGUGGAGGCAGCCUGCAGGGCUUCCCUGCGUCGGCUCUCGGCCAGGCAGCAGGCACACAGGAAGCGCUUGGCCUGGCUUUGCCAGGGGCAGGGGCAGCCUAAGGUGUGGAGACCCACAGCUACGCCCUCCCUGCACACUGACCAAGCCUGAGUCAGUGUCAGGGCUCAGAAAGGCUUCACCAAUAAAAGUAGCUGGAGGAAAGUGACAGCUUCAGCUCCUCCUGCUGUGUGCAGUGUGGGUGAUCACCUUUCCACGCCAGUCCCGGGAGGCUCUUCAAAGACCCUUCUGGAACGCCAAACCCAAAACGAAGGCUCAUCACCCUUCCCAGAGCUGGCGGUGUGGACCGAAGCUGGGGGAGCACAGUACUUGGAAACCAUUUCAGCUCCUUCUGUUUGCCUGAGCAGCUCCUUUUCAGAGGAACCAGGCUGGACUGAGAGUUGGAUCUCCUUCUGCAGAGGGCGUGAUAGAGGGGAGGUGUUGGGAGGACACGGAGCAGCGAAUUCUGCGGCCUGGUGGUGAAAUCUAGUGGCCCCCACGGCUGGGUUCCACUGAUGUGUGAGAGUGGUGUUAACUGUGAGAAGUGAGAUGCAGAGCUAGCUGAUGGCUGGGUCCCUGCUCCCGGGGGUCCCCUGAACCCUCAGGGUGGCCCUGGGAAUGGUGCUCAGCCUCUGGCUCCUGGAGAGGAGAAGGAGUCCUCUGUAGCCUCCAGGAAUGCUGGUGCGGUGACUCUUGGAAUUUUCAGCCCAGGAAAACAAAAAAGAAUGAAAUUCUGGGGAAGAGUGUAAGACAAGAAAGAGUAUUUUGAGUGACUCUAAGGAAGUCAUGUUGUGAAAUUUCAGACAAAAGUAGGAAAAAAAUCCAAGUAGCCUGAAAAGGUUGGCAGAAACAAAUAGAGAAGAGGUUUGGAAUCUUCCACAGGAAGCCAAACGAGCUGCUCCAAGUGUAGGCCAGCUGGAGCACAGGCUGGGCUUAUCGGAGCCUGCCGCCCAGAAGGACAAAGGAAAACAUGUUGGGCUGCAGACACCAAGGGCACUGAAAGGGCCAGGGGAGAGAAAGAAAGGAGAACGCAGAGACAGGCUCUGAAG
rnacentral:lncRNA from 1 species